CGAAUUCCGCCGAGCCAUCCUCCUCCCAGGCUAAGGCGGAUACGGUCAGCCUUCACCUCCUCCCGAUCGCUGACCGACCCAUACGACACCCGCCGGACCUCCUCCCCCGGCGGGUGUUGUUU
rnacentral:sRNA from 1 species